GACGAACGCUGGCGGCGUGCCUAACACAUGCAAGUCGAGCGAGGAACUUCGGUUCCUAGCGGCGGACGGGUGAGUAACACGUGGGUAACCUGGCUCAUAGAGGGGGAUAGCCUUCCGAAAGGGAGAUUAAUACCGCGUACGAAGUGAGAAUCGCAUGGUUCUAGCUUUAAAGGAGUAAUCCGCUAUGAGAUGGGCCCGCGGCGCAUUAGCUAGUUGGGGAGGUAAAGGCUCACCAAGGCGACGAUGCGUAGCCGACCUGAGAGGGUGAUCGGCCACAUUGGAGCUGAGACACGGUCCAGACUCCUACGGGAGGCAGCAGUGGGGAAUAUUGCACAAUGGGCGAAAGCCUGAUGCAGCAACGCCGCGUGAGUGAUGAAGGCCUUCGGGUUGUAAAGCUCUGUCGUUGGGGACGAUAAUGACGGUACCGAAGGAGGAAGCCACGGCUAACUACGUGCCAGCCGCCGCCGUAAAAC
rnacentral:rRNA from 1 species